UUUCACCAGUGGGAAGUGGGCCAUUUUCCAGUUCAAAGGGGCAGAAAAAUAACUAGGGCCCCGUUGGGGCACUGGCGGGCCCGAGCCGUGUCGCGCCGCCCCCAGCGCGACCGCCUACCCCUCUUGAUCGCGUCACACUCAAGGUCCAAAGAUGGUGUGCGCACUUGUCUGUGGUCAUUUACCAUUAUAAUGAAUGGGAGGCGCAGUUUCUACCAAAACGCUCGCUGCAGACAAACUCCAUGUCCUUUUUGAAAAAAGUCUGGACCAUGAGCGAGGGCACAAACACAGCUAGUAUAUAUCCAAAUGGCAAGUUGCUCCUCCUUUCGGUUUUGCCGAGAGAGCGAUGCUUUUGAGCCAUUGAGCGAUGGGCAGGAAAAACUUGACUUUUUCUCCUGCCAUGGGGGGCGCUCUUUUGGGGAGAAAAAUUCCUUCACAAAUGUGUUGAUGGCUGGACAUUGCAUCAUCCUAGAAAACUUGGAGGCCAGUGAGGACAAAAAUAAAAAGUUAUAAGACUUUUAAAAAUGUGGAUAUUUGGGUCGUCUUUGGCACCCCCUAGAACGUAAACCGUGGGGUGCAGCGUCAUGAUUUGUACAACUUUGAAUGGCCAUGGGGUGUAGAUUGACCUGAGCAAAUUUGAAGCCGAUGGGACAAAAGCUUUAGGAGGAGUUAGCCACAUUCCAAUGUGUGCGAAUCGGCAAAAAAUGCAAAAUAGCCCUUUAACCGUACAUUGAACAGAUACGCUCGCAUUGACUUUUUCGUAGAUCUUAUUGAGAUACAUGUGUGUGUCAAAUUUUGUGUCAUUUUGACAAAGCGUAAAGGCGUGACAAUCAACAAUGUGUAUUUUCGCCUUAGGAGACAAGAAAAAAUGGACUUUUUUCUCCUGCCAUGGGGGGGCGCUCUUUUGGCGAGUAAAAAUUCCUUCACAAAUGUGUUGAUGGCUGGACAUUGCAUCAUCCUAGAGAACUUGGAGGCCAGUGAGGACAAAAAUAAAAAGUUAUAAGACUUUUAAGACUGUGGAUUUUUGGGUUAUCUUUGGCGCCCCCUAGAACGUAAACCGUGGGGUGCAGUGUCAUGAUUUGUACAACUUUUAAUGGCCAUGGGGUGUAGAUUGGCCUGAGCAAAUGUGGUGCCGUUGGAACGAAAGCCUUCAGAGGAGUUAGCGAAAUUCCAAUGUGUGCGGAUCGGCAAAAAAUGCGAAAUAACCCUUUAACCGUACAUGUGACAGAUACGCCCGCACUGACUUUUUUGUAGAUCUUAUUGAGAUACAUGUGUGUGUCAAAUUUUGUGUCAUUUUGACAAAGCGUAAAGGCGUGACAGUCAACGAUGUGUAUUUUCGCCUUAGGAGACAAGAAAAAAUGGACAUUUUUCUCCUGCCAUGGGGGGGCGCUCUUUUGGCGAGUAAAAAUUCCUUCACAAAUGUGUUGAUGGCUGGACAUUGCAUCAUCCUAGAGAACUUGGAGGCCAGUGAGGACAAAAAUAAAAAGUUAUAAGACUUUUAAGACUGUGGAUUUUUGGGUUAUCUUUGGCGCCCCCUAGAACGUAAACCGUGGGGUGCAGCGUCAUGAUUUGUACAACUUUUAUUGGCCAUGGGGUGUAGAUUGGCCUGAGCAAAUGUGGUGCCGGUGGAAGGAAAACCUUCGGAGGAGUUAGCGAAAUUCCAAUGUGUGCGGAUCGGCAAAAAAUGCGAAAUAAACCUUUAACCGUACAUUUGACAGAUACGCCCGCACUGACUUUUUUGUAGAUCUUAUUGAGAUACACGUGUGUGUCAAAUUUUGUGUCAUUUUGACAAAGCGUACAGGCGUGACACUCAAUCAUGUGAAUUUUUCACCUUAGGGGGCGCUAUGGAGCCAUUUUGCAUUUGAUUUUUUGGGCGACUUCAGAAUAUCGAAUUUUUCACCAGGCCCGGUCGUCCUGCCAAAUUUCAUGACUUUUCACCAGUGGGAAGUGGGCCAUUUUCCAGUUCAAAGGGGCAGAAAAAUAAUAAGAAGAAGAAGAAGAAGAAAGAAGAAUCCAUCAGGAAUAAUAGGGCUCUCGCAGCUGCUUAGCAGCUACGCUCGGGCCCUAACUAGGACCCCGUUGGGGCACUGGCGGGCCCGAGCCGUGUCGCGUCCCCCCCCCCCCCCCCCCCAACGUGCUGCCUUCCCGUCCCAUUUGUGUCCUCUGGCCAUCGCCCUCUCUGGUAACGCCCAUCACUGCAAAGACCCUUUUCCUUCAUCGGCGUUUGCUGUUCUUCCUGCCAGUGCGUGUUGCUUUCACUUACACUUGCCACAGCCAGCCUCGUGAGUGCCUAGCCUAUUGGAUAUCACUGUCACCUACACAGGACAGUCAUUACCUUUCUAUUAAUACUUUGUGUUUUAAUUUCACAUUAAUUUCCAUAUUGUAUAAACGACUGGAAAAAACUUGAGCCCCUGCCCCUGUAUAAUCAUGUGCAUGUCUCUGUUCUAGCUCCAAGGUGAAUCUUCACUGCUCAUGUUCUCCUCAGAAGCAGUCACCUCACUCCCCUCAGGGUACUGUACACAUGCACCAACUGCCUGCUUCAGGUUUGGAUGGAGCUUCAUGGUUGUCUUUUGGAGAAAUGACCAGUCAAGUUGUGUUUGAAAUUUGAUUUUUUUCAGGGGCAAAAGGAGCCUCUGCAUUCUUGUCAAAUAUGUAAAUAGCAUGUUUUUGCAGGUGCUAAAAACCAGACUCUGAGUGUGUGUGUGUGUGUGUGUGUGCGUGUGUGUGUGUGUGUGUGUGUGUGUGUGUGUGUGCGUGUGUGUGUGUCUAUGUGUGCGUUCAAGUCACAUGACAUAUUUAACCGGAUGUAGCUGCAAGACGGAGCCUUGUUGACUCUCCGUUUCAACUUAUCUCAAAAGUGAGGACCUCAACCUAUAUACCAGUUUUUAAAUUGUGUUGAUAGGCCAAAUAAAACCAGAGUUAUGAUAAAUUAUGUCCGCGAUACUUUUUUUCUGCUUAUUUUGAUCACGUUCGGCGCUCGAUCGCGCUGUAUGAGACAGGAAAACAUAGCAUGCAGACAUUAGCGACAGGUCUUACAGGCGGAAAAGGCUUGCCAAAAGAAAAAAAAAACACACCACAACAUCUCUCCUAUUGGUGGAAAACUUCACCACAACAACCAAUCCAAAAUUAUAUGGUGACUGAUUGACAAGGGGCGGGCGCUUACGUUCUUCCUGCAACAUGAGAAGGGAGGGAGGGACUCUCAGCAGGGAUGCAGUCUGGGACACGUAGUUGCAAAC
rnacentral:lncRNA from 1 species